GCUGCAGACAUGAUGAGGUGUUCAUGUCUCUUCUCUGACUAAAAAUCAAUGGAGAGGACUUUCACAACUCUGAUCUCAGUAUU
ensembl:snoRNA